rnacentral:rRNA from 1 species
AGCGAACGCUGGCGGCGUACUUAACACAUGCAAGUCGAACGGGGAUCGUCGUGUGAGUAAUCAUUCGGCGGUUCUAGUGGCGUACGGGUGAGUAACACGUGGGCAACCUGCCCUAGAGUUCGGGAUACCCUCUCGAAAGGGAGGCUAAUACCGGAUACGUUCCCAGGGUCGCAGGAUCCGGGGAGGAAAGGUGGCGCAAGCUACCGCUCUUGGAGGGGCUCGCGGCCUAUCAGCUAGUUGGUGAGGUAAUGGCUCACCAAGGCUAUGACGGGUAGCUGGUCUGAGAGGACGACCAGCCACACGGGAACUGAGACACGGUCCCGACUCCUACGGGAGGCAGCAGUGGGGAAUUUUCCGCAAUGGGCGAAAGCCUGACGGAGUGACGCCGCGUGGGGGACGAAGGCCUUCGGGUUGUAAACCCCUGUCAGAGGGAAAGAAGGGUGUCGGCGUGAACAGCGCCGGCAUUUGACGGUACCUUCAGAGGAAGCCCCGGCCAACUCUGUGCCAGCAGCCGCGGUAAGACAGAGGGGGCAAGCGUUGCUCGGAAUCACUGGGCGUA